AAGACUAUAGACCUGCGGAGUACCUGCGGAAGGAUCAUUAAUGAAUCAAGCCUGAUAGGUUGUUGCUGGCCUUUUGAGGCAUGUGCACAUCUGUCUUGACUCUAUUCAUCCACCUGUGCACCAACUGUAGUCUUAAGAAAUCUUGGAGAUGUUGAGAAAACAGGAUCAGUCAGUCUGCAUGACUGGAUUUGAGGAUUGCUAUAGCUUUCCUCUGCCUGUGAUGCUACAACUCUUUCAAGA
rnacentral:misc_RNA from 1 species